CAACCCUCGAACCCCUCCGGGGGGUCGGCGUUGGGGAUCGGCCCUGCCUUGGCGGUGGCCGUCUCCGAAAUACAGUGGCGGUCUCGCCGCAGCCUCUCCUGCGCAGUAGUUUGCACACUCGCAUCGGGAGCGCGGCGCGUCCACAGCCGUUAAACACCCAACUUCUGAAA
rnacentral:misc_RNA from 1 species